GUGCUUGCUUUGGCAGCACAUAUACUAAAAUCAGAAUGAUAUGGAGAAGAUUAGCAUGACCCCUGUGCAAGGAUGACACACAAAUUUGUGAAGUGUCCCAUAUUAUU
rnacentral:snRNA from 1 species